rnacentral:lncRNA from 1 species
GCGGUAUAAUUUUAUUAGGAUGCGAGGCUAAUUUGAAAUUUCAGUGUACAAUGUCAGAGGAAUUUUUUGCUGUUGGUACCUAGUCAAUCAUUUAGUUGUUAUAUAUAAAAAGAAAUAUAUAAAAUUGGCGCAAUUAGAUGAUUAUAUUAUUGGCGCAAAUGAUACCUAUAGUUUUGAAAAUUAGGUGGCGCAAAAGAGGUAUUGGCGCAAUUAAAUUGUG